UUGGUUCGAAUUAUAGUCUGGUCAGUUUCAGCCAGUGAAUUUGUCAUAUUUUAGUUUAGUUAGUAUAUUUUAGUUUAGGACGCCUUUCUUAUGUCUAUAUUCCAAACUGUUCAGCUGUGACUCAGUGGAGUUGACUUCAGUUAGAUGAUGGUCAGUCAGUAUAAUCAGUUGUGUUGUGAUAAAGAGUACGGGACUUAUUAUUUCAGGAUCACAAGUGAGCAGCACAUUUUCAGUGAUUCUAUUUCUGUCCCUCUCUCUAGAUUUCUCCAUCGCUCAAGUUGCCAUCUUCUCUGCCACCUCUUCCUCUGUAUGACCAACCUCCCAUCAGCCCUUUCACCAGCCCUGAGACCUCCACCCCGCCUCCUCUCCCACGCUCACCCUCCACCGCACUCAACGGGGAGCACAAGCCUCCACCACCCGCCUCGUCACACAAGGGACCGCUAUCCACCCACAAUCAAAGCUCUGGCAGGAGUCCAGUGUCUCCAGGAUUUCCGCAGCCACUGAGAUUCACCCCUGAAGGAGGCCCGGGAAAACUACGACCUGUUCGAGCUGCUCCUCCUCCACCCAAACAGCACCCCCGCCGACAGCAGGAGAAGAGCGACAAGACGGAGGAGGUGGAGAUCACGCUGGUGUGACAGACAGACAAGCUGGCGGGCGGUUAUAGAGACAUACAAAAUAAAAACAGAUGACAGACAUGCGUAUCCUACAGGCUGGGGAACUGAACUGCUCUGAACUGAAGUCAGCUUAAAUAAAGUGAUGUGAAGUAAACUGAACUGAACCACGUCAGACGCCCCUGGCCUCUCCACGUCUUCUCUCAUCCUCAAGUUGAGGAGGAGAGCAGAGGGAGGGGAUGAAGUCAGAGUAUCCAAUUAAAUAAUCUCCGUAUUAGCUUCCUAAUGAAGUGCAGCAGUAGCCACCCCACCCCCCACGUCCCUCUCCGCCCUUCCCCGUCCUUCCAUUCUUGCCUUAAAACUUCACCUCAACGGGCAGCAAACCCGAGCACACUGAAGAAGAGGAAGAGGAGGAAGAAUGUUUAGAGAGGGGGAGUGUGAGGGAAAGUUAAUGAUGGGGUUUGCAAGUUUCCUUUUAACUUGUUAAGCUUACUUCAAGAUAUUGUACGGUAGCUUAUCUCUCUGCGCAAGACCAUUCUGCUACAUCUGAGAACUUUUUUCACUCACUUACGAACAAAUAAUGAAACGUGAAAAGUUCUUGAGCCCUGAAACAAACGUAAAGUAAAGGCUUAUAAGACAAGUCAAAAAUAUAAAUAAAUACAUAAUAAUAUUGUUAGACAGAAAAAAUGGAUUGUAAAAAGAAAUGUUAUGGUUUAUACCUAUACAUUUAAUCAUUUAUUUAUUUUCCCCAUGCAACAUUUCCUUUUCUUCUUGAGGAAGGCUCUGUGGCUAGCUGAUCUGAAAACACUGAAAACACACCGAGCACCAGCUAGCUAGCUGAAGCAAACCGUAGAACUACAACAGCUACACUACUGUUAUGUUAAUAUCCAUAUACCGUACUGCAUACUGCUGUAGCGUCACUGUAUAAACUAGUCGGCAAGCUAACGCUAACAAAGCUAGUUAGCUAGAAAUUUUACAUUUUUGGACAUUCAAUCACACACUACUUAAUGUACAAAAUGACACAAUAAAGUCAAAGACACAUUUAUUAUUCAAAUGAAUAUCGAGGCAUGUCUCUUAAGUCUGUGAACUUCCAAGUAGCACAGUAGCGUAGCAAGUAGCUUGCUGGCUAAAAGGCUUUAGCUGCUAUUACAAGAUGUUUAUACAUGAAUGCUAGAGCAGUAUUUAGUACAGUGUAUUGCUGAACAACAUUAGGUGCAGUGUAGUUUUAUGCCAAAAGUCAGCUUCAGCUUGGUAGCUAGCAAAAAAGACAUAAGCUCAGACUCAGUGUGUGUCAUUAGUGUUUUCAGGUAAGCUAGCCCUAUGUGGUAAACAAAAUAAGGAAUAGAUACAUGAUUUUAAAAUGUGUGCAUAUAAAAAUGAGUUGAAAAAUGAAAUGAGCUAGUGAAAGCUCUUUAGUUUCGAUGUAUUUAUUAUUUUUGACUUAUCUGAUGCCUUUGACUAUAAUGUGAGUGUCAUAAAAAGUAAGCUUGAUGAGCGUGAAUAAGUAUAAAACUUGCCAAACGUGUCAUGAUUCGGAUUGGAAAUUGGGGUUUAAGUAAAUGGCCAGAGAAACUGGGUGGUGUGUGGACGCAGUGUCCCCCCUCGCCAACCCUCCCCUUCGCCAUAUAUAGUCCUUAUCAUCAUACGUAUUCAAUGUGUAUUAGUACAGUACAUUACUGUUGUCAUAGGAAUGUUAUGCACAGCGUUUCAUAUAGACUAAUUCAGCUGAAUGGAAAACCAUGUCUGAUAUGUAGUGAAAGUUUUAUCCUCAUCUUAUACUGAAAGGGCAUUGUAAAUACAGUAUGAAGGAGAGAUGAAAGAGGAGAGGGAAGAAGAGGAUGAAAGGACAAGAGAGAAAAAGGAGGCUGGAUCCUCCCUUCUGUUCUUUCCUCCGCCUCUUCCCACCCUUCCUUUCUUUCUCUCCCUUUUAUCUUUAAUGUCUGUUCUGUCCAUUGGCAGUCAGUGUGAAUCGGUGGCUAUCAUAUACACAUCUACAUUAUAUUACGUACACAUUGCUAUAUCUUUCUCUCAUUCUGUGACCCUCUGUGUGCUUGCAUCACUGAUUGGUUCAAGGAGAAGCCGGUGGUGCUUUUCAAAGGCACUGAAAUUGUUGGUAUUCACUAUGUGGUAACAAAGAGAAGUUUUAUUUGAAAUCAUAUAGACACUGAUCAUAUUUGGGGGUCAGGAGUUUUUAUUAAUCACAGAUGGAACUGUAUAGCUUGUAUCCCAACAGAUCAUAUCUCCUCUCACAUUGAUUUCGCUCGCCUAUAACAUAUAUCCUUUGUUGACAUGCAUUACAUUCGCUGGGUAUUAUUUUGUCCCUGUUGUCUUCUCGAACAGGCAAGUUUGUUUUUUUAAUUUUAAUACAGCACAGAAAACAUCCAGAAAACAUCCAGAAAACCAAACCUUCAACAUUUCCAGUUUGAUAUCAUCCUUUUGUUUUCCUCCCAUUUUACAUUUCAACUAUGAUUGAUGGUGGUAGAGACAGAAGAGAGGAAUAAAACAGUUGCAUCCUGCCAAAUGGACAGAACUAGCAAAUGACAUUCAAAUGGAGCUAAGUACAAUUCUUUAGUGUUUUUUUUACUCAAAGUAAAUAAAUCUUACCCCCUUAAAUACCCUUCAAGCCUUUAAAACUCCUUGCCUAAAGGGCAGCGUAGCACUUUUAUUUAUUUGUACCUUCCCUGGAAAGUAGCAGUACCUUAACGUAACAUCAGAAUGGAUAGAAAAGACUCUGGUGAAUCACUGCAGUUCAAUACAGAAAUUCUUUUCUUUCUGAUUCUGUGGUGGAUCCUCUUUAUUUCAGUGUGACUGAUAAUUUUUUUUUAUUAUUAUUAUUAUUGCUCUCCACUCUUCCAAAGAGAUGGAGAGAUAAUUGUGGACAAUGUAAUUUGGUGUUUUCCUUAACUUAUAAAUACAAAAAAAAAAACAACGUGAUUAUAGAAAGGGAUGUUUUGAAUGAAGACUUGUAGAGAAUGUGUGUGUGUGUGUGUGUUUUUGGUCCUGCGAGAGGCCUGGCUGUUUGCGUGUGUGAUUGUUUUAAGGAGAUGAGGACUUUGUUUGACUCUGAAGAUGUAAAGAUGUGUCCCACUUCCUGCCUACAUAUUUAUGUCAACCAGGGUUUGCUUUCGUAGAGCGCUCACACUGAAGACAUUUUGAAAUAAAACUCACAGAUGUCAGUGUGGAUACGAAAUUCUAUUGAUUCUUUGAGUGGUGUUGACGGACAAUAUUGUCCCAAGAUGCAACAUAUAAGAGGGUGCUCCUCACAGCUAAAACUAACUGUGCCCUGUUUUGAGAUAGCUCUAGAAAUAUAUAAAAAUGAAGCAUUCAGUCUGUGUUUAUUUGUCUUUGUUAAGGAUAUUAUCAGUUGUGCUCCAACGUUGCAGUAUUAUAGCACAUUUUAUAUUGGUGCACAACUGUGAAGUAUGUUCAUUUAUUGUAUAUUAACAGCAAAAACCGUAUAAAGUAUGAAGAUUGGUAUAAAGUGCAUACUGUGUAGUGUUAGUAUGUAGUCUGGAAUGGGGCACAGCUUUAGGAUUCGUGUUAGAAAGAAAGAAAGUCCUGAUCUGGGCUCAAAUUGAUGGGUUUCCUCUUUGCAAGGUGGAGUUGAAUUAUGUCGGAUUGAGAAAAAGUGAUGCAAGAGAUGAAGAAAUACUAAACACUUUGUUUUCUUUUGCAUUAGCUUUUGUGUAGCAUCCACACCUAACAACGUUGAGUAUGCUGGAAUAGGUUACAGUUUCAGAUCCCAACCUCUGCUCCUCUGCAGCCUCUCCUUGACCUCACUCGGAUUUUUAUUUAUAACGGUUUUCAAACUUGUUUUGAAGUUUAUGGUUUACAGAAGAGUCCCGCAGAACUUCCCACCAUAAAUGCUCGAUCAGUCUAUCUGUCAAAUACAAGAUUUAUGGCUUUUUGUUGCCAGUUGCCACUUUGAACAAGAUUAUUCUCCCUUUCUGACAGUCCCUUUGGUCCGCUACAGUGUUUAAUUAUUUGAUACGGGCCUGUUUUUGGAUUUUAUGUAUUAUAUAAUUCUUUAAUUUUUCAUCCUUCGAUUUGGCACAGCUGCACAGCUGCUGCUAUUAACAAUGUGGUGAAACAACCUUCUCUCUUUUCAAAGACUGUUGCCAUGGUGACAGUAAUGAGAACAGGUGCAAAAGUCUUUCUGCAUAUUAUUAUUGGCUGUACAAAAAACAAAGUUUGUAUUUAUUGUGUACAAAUGUUAAUUAAUAAAAAAAUAUUGA